UACAGAGGGUGCGAGCGUUGUCCGGAAUCACUGGGCGUAAAGGGCGCGUAGGUGGCGCCCCAAGUCCGUGGUGAAAGCUCGAUGCUCAACAUCGAGUCGGCCACGGAAACUGGGGGGCUCGAGCACUGUAGAGGCAGAUGGAAUUCCGGGUGUAGCGGUGGAAUGCGUAGAGAUCCGGAAGAACACCCGUGGCGAAGGCGGCUCUCUCGGGA
rnacentral:rRNA from 1 species